UUUCCUACAGAAGUCCCUGAAGGAUAAUUGGGUCUCACACUGGGAAAGAGUGAAACCUCUAAUCAGACUUCUCCAGUCUCAACAAGGCACCCCAGUCACUGACCAAGCGGCUGCCAAUCAGGUUUCAGGUGCCCUGCAGUGGGGAGACAAGGCGCUGUGUGUGACACCGCCACACAAUUUUUACCUUCUGUCUGCUUCCUACUUCUCAUGCUCACCCAGCCAUGGCAAAAGGCUCACCUGUGGCCUCCCCACCCCGCAGAGUGGACCUCCUGUCUGUGCUCCUGUGGUCCAGAAUUAGUGACAAGGAAGAUGAGAGAGAACCAAAACAGAACUGUCUUCCAAGCCACCAUGACCAGACUCGGCAUCAACUGGGAAUCUGACAGAAAUAGAAAUUCACAGGUUCUACCAGACCCACUGGGCCGACUCUCACCGUGCUUCUGAUGCGUGGCUGCCGGCACUGCACCCCGAGAGUUGAGAGAGACACAGAAAGCCCGUGUCUUUUCACCAACCUGAAGCCAAAUGUUGGGAAUUUGAGUUCGGUCAUCUGUAAGAAUAAAAACUAAACCGCUUCACAAG
rnacentral:lncRNA from 1 species